rnacentral:rRNA from 1 species
AUGAACGCUAGCUACAGGCUUAACACAUGCAAGUCGAGGGGCAGCAUGAACUUAGCUUGCUAAGUUUGAUGGCGACCGGCGCACGGGUGAGUAACACGUAUCCAACCUGCCGAUGACUCGGGGAUAGCCUUUCGAAAGAAAGAUUAAUACCCGAUGGCAUAGUUCUUCCGCAUGGUAGAACUAUUAAAGAAUUUCGGUCAUCGAUGGGGAUGCGUUCCAUUAGGUUGUUGGCGGGGUAACGGCCCACCAAGCCUUCGAUGGAUAGGGGUUCUGAGAGGAAGGUCCCCCACAUUGGAACUGAGACACGGUCCAAACUCCUACGGGAGGCAGCAGUGAGGAAUAUUGGUCAAUGGACGAGAGUCUGAACCAGCCAAGUAGCGUGAAGGAUGACUGCCCUAUGGGUUGUAAACUUCUUUUAUACGGGAAUAAAGUGAGGCACGUGUGCCUUUUUGUAUGUACCGUAUGAAUAAGGAUCGGCUAACUCCGUGCCAGCAGCCGCGGUAAUACGGAGGAUCCGAGCGUUAUCCGGAUUUAUUGGGUUUAAAGGGAGCGUAGGCGGACGCUUAAGUCAGUUGUGAAAGUUUGCGGCUCAACCGUAAAAUUGCAGUUGAUACUGGGUGUCUUGAGUACAGUAGAGGCAGGCGGAAUUCGUGGUGUAGCGGUGAAAUGCUUAGAUAUCACGAAGAACUCCGAUUGCGAAGGCAGCCUGCUGGACUGUAACUGACGCUGAUGCUCGAAAGUGUGGGUAUCAAACAGGAUUAGAUACCCUGGUAGUCCACACAGUAAACGAUGAAUACUCGCUGUUUGCGAUAUACAGUAAGCGGCCAAGCGAAAGCGUUAAGUAUUCCACCUGGGGAGUACGCCGGCAACGGUGAAACUCAAAGGAAUUGACGGGGGCCCGCACAAGCAGUGGAGUAUGUGGUUUAAUUCGAAGCAACGCGAAGAACCUUACCAGGUCUUGACAUCCUACUAACGAGAUAGAGAUAUGUUAGGUGCCCUUCGGGGAAAGUAGAGACAGGUGGUGCAUGGUUGUCGUCAGCUCGUGUCGUGAGAUGUUGGGUUAAGUCCCGCAACGAGCGCAACCCCUGUACUUAGUUGCCAGCAUGUAGAGAUGGGAACUCUAAGUAGACUGCCGCGAAUAACGCGGAGGAAGGUGGGGAUGACGUCAAAUCAUCAUGCCCCUUAUGACCUGGGCUACACACGUACUACAAUGGACAUUAACAGAGGGAAGCAAUACAGUGAUGUGGAGCAAACCCCUAAAAAUGUUCUCAGUUCAGAUUGCAGGCUGCAACUCGCCUGCAUGAAGUCGGAAUUGCUAGUAAUCGCGGAUCAGCAUGCCGCGGUGAAUACGUUCCCGGGCCUUGUACACACCGCCCGUCACACCAUGAGAGUUGGGGAUACCCGAAGCCUGUGAGCCAACAUAUCUAUGAGGCAGCAGUCGAAGGUAGAAUCAAUGAUUGGGGUG